AUGGCAUGUAUAUGCGUUACUUCAACUUGCACUUUAGGCCUUGCCAGAUUCCUCGCAGCCUGGUGGCCUGAAGGCAAUGAAGCUGACGCACUGCACCUGGCGCAUGUUGUCGAAGCCGAUGACACGGACAUAGGCGUCAGGGUACUCCUUCUUGACCUCCUCCACCUCGUUGAGCACCUGCGUUGCGUCGGUGCACCCGAACAUAGGCAGCUUCCACAUUGUCCAGUAUCGACCGUCGUAGUAGCCGGGGGAGCUGUUGUGCUCACGGAAGACGAAGCCAACCUUGCUGAACUCGAGGCAGGGCACCCACUUGGAGCGGAUCAGGUAGUCGACCUGCUUUAG
rnacentral:rRNA from 1 species